GAAAAAGUUUGAGAACAAUAGAGGAGAAGUUUAUCGACUCAUGUGCGGCCUCCAACACCACUGCUACGGUUUAUCGUGACACGAAUGAAGCAGAAGAGGCGUGGGCUGAAGUCACCCAGGAGGAGAAAGAAUCUCCAGGAGAAGUGCUCCUCCGACUAAAGGCACGUUACCACCAUCUAGUGUUCAAAGGUUGAACUGUCUUGUCGUGUAUCCAUUCAUUUCCAGUAGACCUGGGACUGUGAGGGUGUUGUGACGUGACGUGGUUAUUUAAUGUAUGUAUAUUUGAAAACUGACGUCACACUGUUUUAAAGAGCAGUUUUUGAUUUAUUCUGAAGAAAAUUCACGAAAACAUAGAAAUCCAAGGAGUGUUCAGAUGUUUGUUUACACAGAGUGUAGCUGAACAUGUGAAAAAUUAUUUUUUAAAUCAAAUAUGGAUCAAACAAAUAAUCAACAGAAA